rnacentral:lncRNA from 1 species
UUAGAUUAGCUUUGUGCCACCCAGCUUUACUCUCGAAAUCUCAUCAAACUACACAUCUUCUAGGUGGGGGUCAGAAGGGCUCUCUGAAAGGUGACCCAGAAUGGCUUGAUAGCCCAAGCUUGGGUGAGAGGAAAUGUCAAAAGGACGGACCUGUGACUCAGUCACCCGGACCUCCCUGUGUGUGAUCUGUUGGCCAUUUGAGGCUUUGCUGAUGAGGGAGAAGGGGAAGAUCUGCUCCAGCACUAGGGCCCUCCAGAUAUUCUUGCCUGGAGUAUAAAGGUGCCAUCCAUCUCAGUGCUGGCAGGGCCUGAGAGUGAGUUCAGCACCAACAAACAGAGUCAUUAGGUUGGAGUCCAGCUCCCCAACCACAUGAUGAACUGUAAUUUGUAGGGAUCCCUUUGUCCCCAAUGUUGCUUUGCUAGACCUGCCCACCAGGGACUCAUCCUUCCUCAGCAGAUAGGCUUUUGACCCUCCUAGUGCACAAGGAAGAGGGACAGGGACUUAAUUUACAUUUUCCCUUGGCCAGCAUUUGCCUGGUGUCUACAUUAAUCACCAUAAAGGAUAAAUGCCACAAAGAAAAUGAAGAGAGAGGGAGAGAGAGAGCAAGAGAGAGGGAGAGCUAGCGCUUGGGCAAGCAGCGGGGCCUAAUGGAAGGAAAGAAGCUGGUCUGGAGAAGAGCUGGUCAGAAUGAAUCCUUGGUGAGCCCUCACCUCAACUUCUGAAUCUGUAGGACUUCACCCUUCUUGAAAAUUAGAUCUCUUUCUAAGUCAUGUUUGAGAACCAUGUUCCAAAAUAAUUGAGGCUGGGUCUAAAAGAAAUCAGGCUGUAAGCAAGGG